rnacentral:rRNA from 1 species
AGGGGGUGUGAGAGCACGGCCCCCCACAAUGGGACUGAAACACGGCCCAUACUCCUACGGGAGGCAGCAGCAGGGAAUAUUGCACAAUAGGCGAAAGCCUGAUGCAGCGACGCCGCGUGAGUGAAGAAGGCCUUCGGGUCGUAAAGCUCUUUUGUAGGGGAAGAGGAAGGACGGUACCCUAAGAAGAAGCGUCGGCUAACUACGUGCCAGCAGCCGCGGUAAGACGUAGGACGCGAGCGUUAUCCGGAAUUACUGGGCGUAAAGGGCCAGCAGGCGGCUUGGUAAGUUGUGCGUGAAAGCCUCGUGCUCAACGCGAGGAAGCCGGACAAUACUGUCAAGCUAGAGGGCAUCAGAGGGGAGUGGAAUUCCCGGAGUAGCGGUAAAAUGCGCAGAUAUCGGGAGGAACACCGAUGGCGAAGGCAGCUCCCUGGGAUGUACCUGACGCUAAGGGGCGAAAGCUAGGGGAGCGAACAGGAUUAGAGACCCUGGUAGUCCUAGCUGUAAACGCUGGGUGCUAGGUGUGGGACGUAGAAGUUCCGUGCCGGAGCAAACGCGAUAAGCACCCCGCCUGGGAAUUACGGUCGCAAGGCUAAAACUCAAACGAAUUGACGGGGCCCCGCACAAGCAGCGGAGCGUGUGGUUCAAUUCGAUGCUACACGAAGAACCUUACCUGGGUUUGACAUGUACGUGGUACGAAGGCGAAAGCCUAAGGACCCUUCGGGGAGCGUACACAGGUGCUGCAUGGCUGUCGUCAGCUCGUGCCGUGAGGUGUCGGGUUAAGUCCCGUAACGAGCGCAACCCUUGCCCUUAGUUACAAGUGUCUAAGGGGACUGCCGGCGGGAAGCCGGAGGAAGGUGGGGAUGACGUCAAGUCAGCAUGGCCCUUAUGUCCAGGGCUACACACACGCUACAAUGGUCAGUACAAAGGGUAGCGAAGUCGCGAGGCGGAGCGAAUCUCAACAAAGCUGAUCGUAGUUCGGAUUGCAGGCUGCAACCCGCCUGCAUGAAGCUGGAGUUGCUAGUAACCGCGCGUCAGCCAUAGUGCGGUGAAUACGUACCCGGGGCUUGUACACACCGCCCGUCACGUCAUGGGAGUCGGUAACGCACUGAAGCCGGUAGUCUGGCCCGCAAGGGGGACGCUGUC